rnacentral:rRNA from 1 species
GACCUCGGAUCAGGUAGGGAUACCCGCUGAACUUAAGCAUAUCUAAGGGCGG